UACGUAGGGGGCAAGCGUUAUCCGGAUUUACUGGGUGUAAAGGGAGCGUAGACGGCGAUGCAAGCCAGAUGUGAAAGCCCGGGGCUCAACCCCGGGACUGCAUCUGGAACUGUAUAGCUAGAGUGUCGGAGAGGCAGGCGGAAUUCCUAGUGUAGCGGUGAAAUGCGUAGAUAUUAGGAGGAACACCAGUGGCGAAGGCGGCCUGCUGGACGAUGACUGACGUUGAGGCUCAAAAGCGUGGGGAGCAAACAGG
rnacentral:rRNA from 1 species